rnacentral:lncRNA from 1 species
CAUGUAAUUCACGUUUUCAGUAAUUUUUUGGGCUUGGAAGGCAGCCCAAGAAACGGGUAAUGUUGUUGCUUUUUAUUAUAACUUGCACAACUUUGGGCUUCUGAUAUAACAUUAGGCCCAGUGAAGAUGUUGAAUAUAACCUAGACUGCCCAGGCCUCAGAUUAAUUGAAUUAAAAGGGAAAUGAGCCUGGCUAUUCUUCAGCUGGGCCUGCUUUAAGUCCAAUUCUUAUAAACCAACUGACGUGAGCCGAAGCUUAUUCAAUAUUAACAAUGAAGCGAACAUAGGUGACCUAACGAUAUAUUUUGAAACAAAACAUGAUGUCAAUUAAUGGGGAUCAAUAUGUAAACUUAAUCACAUUUAUUAAUGGUUAAGAAGAGAAUAUCAUUUCAUUGGAAUAACAAAAAAAUGAUGAUGCUCGAUUUUCAGCCUAGCGCCUUAGUUUAUACAUUCCAAAUAGCUCCAUUACAGAUUGCAAAUAAAAAUAACUACUGGAUGUUUCACCUCGUUACUGAGUCAAAUUGUUUUUAAACAGAUGUAUGAUGUAGCGGACAUGAAAUUAACUACAACUAAUCAUGAAAUUACUCUAUCAACCUAUCAUGAAAUUAACUACACCUAGUCUUCAACUCACAUUGCUCGCAUAAAUCGGAGAAAUAGCAGCUCACAGAGUCUGGCACUGUGCAAAUUACUUAUAACAAUCAGUUACUUGCAUUCUAAUUAAAUUAAUCUACGAGCAUAUGCAAAGACAAGAAUAACAGAAAAACAGCCAACAAGAAUCAACUUGAGCCUUCUAUUUCAUCUCUCAAACCAGGCAUACAUUGUCAUGGAUUCAGGAUUUGUACCUGGAAUUGAAUAAAACGAUGAGAAAUGACAGUCAGCUGCAGUAGCAGAUCAACAGAAGUACAACUUAUAGCCAACAACAGCAGAUUCCAGUCCCAAAAGCCAAGGAGAUGUUUUAACGAUAAAUCCACCAGUCACACAACCAAAACAGCUUAAACAACACCCAACAACUUGAAAUUGAACCCAGAAAUGCACUCUGAAACUUCAGUAACCACAUAUUGAGCUAGAAGAUGCAAGUUAACAACUAAAGCUCGAAAGUAACCUUAGAUUUUCAAUAGGACAGUAUUUUUUGGAGUUUUCUACUGCUUUUUAUUUUGUAUUUUUGAAAGAACUAAGAUCUAAAAGAAGAAAAACUCUUCAAAUUUUGCUUGAACUACAUUUUUUUGGAUUUUUUUUUAGUUUUUGAAUUUCAAAUUUUAGAGGUUUGAGCUUAUGGAAGCUUUGGGGAAAAUUUUUCAAAUCAGAAACCUCCUUUUUUUAUUAAGGCACUAGACAUGUCU